GAUGAACGCUGGCGGCGUGCCUAAUACAUGCAAGUCGAGCGAACAGACGAGGAGCUUGCUCCUCUGACGUUAGCGGCGGACGGGUGAGUAACACGUGGAUAACCUACCUAUAAGACUGGGAUAACUUCGGGAAACCGGAGCUAAUACCGGAUAAUAUAUUGAACGGCAUGGUUCAUUAGUGAAAGACGGUUUUGCUGUCACUUAUAGAUGGAUCCGCGCCGCAUUAGCUAGUUGGUAAGGUAACGGCUUACCAAGGCAACGAUGCGUAGCCGACCUGAGAGGGUGAUCGGCCACACUGGAACUGAGACACGGUCCAGACUCCUACGGGAGGCAGCAGUAGGGAAUCUUCCGCAAUGGGCGAAAGCCUGACGGAGCAACGCCGCGUGAGUGAUGAAGGUCUUCGGAUCGUAAAACUCUGUUAGUAGGGAAGAACAAAUGUGUAAGUAACUAUGCACGUCUUGACGGUACCUAAUCAGAAAGCCCCGGCUAACUACGUG
rnacentral:rRNA from 1 species